CUCCCUACUACUACAAGUCACCUCCUCCACCGUCACCUUCUCCUCCACCCCCCUACUACUACCAAUCUCCACCUCCACCAGUAAAAUCUCCUCCUCCCCCCUACUACUACAGUUCACCUCCUCAAUCGGUGAAAUCAUCCCCUCCACCAGUAUACAUUUACGCUUCUCCACCACCUCCAACCCACUACUAAUUUCUAAAAGGAGUUUAGCCAUUCUCCAUAACCAAUUAAAUCUCAGUUCAAUGCAAACAACUAAUGAUGGAUAUUUGAGGAGAGGCUUCAAACAUCAUUGGCAUAAAGCAGUUAACAAGGAGCAAUUUGUUUCUUCUUCUCUUGUGGCUUUCUUUCACAUUGUUAUCAUUGUAUCUUCUUGGUGGAAGUGGCUUCAACAACUUAAUUAUUUCAUAGGAAGGAAAUAAUUGUUUAUUGGUCCUUUGAGGUGUGUCUGACUUUUGAUAUUUCAAAGGCUUUAUUCAUUUUCCAUUAGUUAAAUAGCAACUUGUUUUAUGUAUCUUCAUGUGCUUUAUGCACCAAAUCAAUAAAAGAUGAAUUUUGUUCUA